rnacentral:rRNA from 1 species
UACGUAGGGUGCGAGCGUUGUCCGGAAUUAUUGGGCGUAAAAGAGUUCGUAGGCGGUUGUGUCACGUCGGCCGUGGAAAACCUGCAGCUUAACUGUGGGCGUGCGGUCGAUACGGGCAUCACUGGAGUUCGGGCAGGGGAGACUGGAAUUCCUGGUGUAGCGGUGAAAUGCGGCAGAUAUCAGGGAGGGAACACCGGUGGGCGAAGG